GCUCAAGAGACAAACCAGACCCCAGGGCCCAUGCUGUGUACUACAGGAUGUGGAUUUUAUGGAAAUGCUAGGACAAACGGGAUGUGUUCUGUUUGCUACAAAGAGCAUCUUCAGCGACAGCAGAAUAGUGGUAGAAUCAGCCCAAUGGGGACAGCUAGUGGUUCAAACAGUCCACUCUCAGACUCUGCAUCUGUACAGAGAGCAGACAAUAGCUUAAACAACUGUGAAGGUACUGAUCGUAGCACGUCUGAAAAAUCAAGAAAUGUGCUUGGUGCCACUUUGCCUGUAAUGCAGCAGAUGACAGAAAUGAGCAUUUCAAGAGAGGAAAAAGUAUCACUGAAUACAGAGACCA